UAGCAUUGCUUUAAAAUGGCACCCAGUUAAAUGUUUGAAAAUUUCAACUUUAGAAAGAUAAUUAUAACUGAGAAAAGUAGGAGUCUCCAAUUUUUGACUUAUUGCUAUUACGAGGAAAUACUACUAUACGGAACCCUCCCCCCCCCAUUAAAAUGAUGGAAGUACUCUUUUUGACAAUUUUUAAUUACUUAAGACCGGUUUUUCUUUUGUACAGGGCGGUACAAUAUCCACGGCACACAGUUCAUAGUGGUACCGGUCGAGCAGGUGGAGGGCCCUCAGGGACUUUUGGAAGAAUUGGACAGUCAGUUGUCGCACGAAGAGCACCAUCAAGCCGUUGUGGCCCCAUCGACGCCUGCAACGCAGCCUCCCGCAACCCACACGACACGACUCAACGCCACCCACCCCUCUUCCUCCUCUCCAACCCCCGCCCCGGUGGAUCCGGGUGGACAUUGACCACAGAGGGUGGCUCAACCUUCUGAAGAGUGGAAUCGGCACUGAUGUGUGGGAGGUGGACUGAUGAGCUGGCAAGGAUAAAUUCAAGAGUCCUGUCAACACCUUUGUUACCGGCAGAUCUGGCAUCUUGCUGUGUGCUCCAAAGUUUACUUACGAGAUUUAUACACAGCAGCACAGCGUACAAACUUUAUUCCUACUCAUUUUUGGAGUAUUCAUCAAAUCUGGGAGGGUUCCUUAGGGUGGGACUUAUUUUUUUAAAUCGACAAAAUCAAAUGUUGCACGGUCUUAAAUGGUUCUAUGCGAUAAAAAAACACGGUAGCCAAGAGGAUUUUGAGAAAAAAAAUUUUAACCCGGCGCGCACAGAGCCUAAACAUCGAGAUUUUUUUGGUUUUUUUGGCAUUUUCGCCGUAUAUUUUUGA
rnacentral:lncRNA from 1 species